GACGAACGCUGGCGGCGUGCUUAGCACAUGCAAGUCGAACGGAAAGGCCCUGCCUUUGUGGGGUGCUCGAGUGGCGAAAGGGUGAGUAACACGUGAGUAACCUGCCCUUGACUUUGGGAUAACUUCAGGAAACUGGGGCUAAUACCGGAUAGGAGCUCCUGCUGCAUGGUGGGGGUUGGAAAGUUUCGGCGGUUGGGGAUGGACUUGCGGCUUAUCAGCUUGUUGGUGGGGUAGUGGCUCACCAAGGCUUUGACGGGUUGCCGGCCUGAGAGGAGGACCGGCCACAUUGGGACUGAGAUGCGACACAGACUCCUACGGGAGGCAGCAGUGGGGAAUAGUGCACUAUGGGCGGAAGCCUGAUGCAGCAACGCCGCGUGCGGGAUGACGGCCUUCGGGUUGUAAACCGCUUUCGCCUGUGACGAAGCGUGAGUGACGGUAAUGGGUAAAGAAGCACCGGCUAACUACGUG
rnacentral:rRNA from 1 species